GAUGAACGCUGGCGGCGUGCCUAAUACAUGUAAGUCGAGCGAAUGGAUUAAGAGCUUGCUCUUAUGAAGUUAGCGGCGGACGGGUGAGUAACACGUGAGUAACCUGCCCAUAAGACUGGGAUAACUCCGGGAAACCGGGGCUAAUACCGGAUAACAUUUUGAACCGCAUGGUUCGAAAUUGAAAGGCGGCUUCGGCUGUCACUUAUGGAUGGACCCGCGUCGCAUUAGCUAGUUGGUGAGGUAACGGCUCACCAAGGCAACGAUGCGUAGCCGACCUGAGAGGGUGAUCGGCCACACUGGGACUGAGACACGGCCCAGACUCCUACGGGAGGUAGCAGUAGGGAAUCUUCCGCAAUGGACGAAAGUCUGACGGAGCAACGCCGCGUGAGUGAUGAAGGCUUUCGGGUCGUAAAACUCUGUUGUUAGGGAAGAACAAGUGCUAGUUGAAUAAGCUGACACCUUGACGGUACCUAACCAGAAAGCCACGGCUAACUACGUGCCAGCCGCCGCAGUAA
rnacentral:rRNA from 1 species